rnacentral:rRNA from 1 species
UACGUAGGGUGCAAGCGUUAAUCGGAAUUACUGGGCGUAAAGCGUGCGCAGGCGGCUAUGCAAGACAGAUGUGAAAUCCCCGGGCUUAACCUGGGAACUGCAUUUGUGACUGCAUGGCUAGAGUACGGUAGAGGGGGAUGGAAUUCCGGCGUGUAGCAGUGAAAUGCGUAGAUAUGCGGAGGAACACCGAUGGCGAAGGCAAUCCCCCUGGGCCUGUACUGACGCUCAUGCACGAAAGCGUGGGGAGCAAACAGG